rnacentral:rRNA from 1 species
GAUGAACGCUGGCGGCGUGCCUAAUACAUGCAAGUCGAGCGAACGGACGAGAAGCUUGCUUCUCUGAUGUUAGCGGCGGACGGGUGAGUAACACGUGGAUAACCUACCUAUAAGACUGGGAUAACUUCGGGAAACCGGAGCUAAUACCGGAUGAUAUUUUGAACCGCAUGGUUCAAAAGUGAAAGACGGUCUUGCUGUCACUUAUAGAUGGAUCCGCGCUGCAUUAGCUAGUUGGUAAGGUAACGGCUUACCAAGGCAACGAUGCAUAGCCGACCUGAGAGGGUGAUCGGCCACACUGGAACUGAGACACGGUCCAGACUCCUACGGGAGGCAGCAGUAGGGAAUCUUCCGCAAAGGGCGAAAGCCUGACGGAGCAACGCCGCGUGAGUGAUGGAGGUCUUCGGAUCGUAAAACUCUGUUAUUAGGGAAGAACAUAUGUGUAAGUAACUGUGCACAUCUUGACGGUUCCUAAUCAGAAAGCCACGGCUAACUACGUG